CAAAGAUAUAUAGAUAUAUAAGAAGAGAUUUAUUGUAGGAACUGGUUCACACGGUUGUGGAAACUGAAAGUCCCAUGAUCUGCUGUCAGCAAGAUAGAGAACCAGGAAACCCAGUGGUAUAAUUCAGUCCAAGUACUAAGGCCUGAGAACCAGGAAGGUCAAUAGUGCAAGUACAAGUUCAAGGGCCUGAGAAUCAGGACACCAAUAGUUUAAGCCUCAAUGUUAGUCCAAAGUCCCAAGAACCAGGAGCACCAAGGUCCGAGGGCAGGAGAAGACGGAUGUCCCAGCUCAAGUAAACUAAUUUAUCCUUCCUCACCCUUCUUUCACCUUCUUUUUCUAUUCAGGCUCUCAAUGGAUUGGAUGAUGCCCACCUGCAUUGAUCUCCCCACGAACAUAGACCAAGAAGAAUCCUGGAGGAGCUGUUCCCAAAGCUUAUCAUAGUGAAAGUGAGUGGACACAGUGCAAACGGUUGGCUGUAAUGGAUGCUGUGCACAGUGUGGCAUGUGGAACUUCCCCCACCAAGGAUCGAACCCCUACUUCUUGACCACAUCCAGGCAGCUAUCCAGACCCCAGAUUCCUGUUCCAGCAAGCAACAGAUGACACACUUGAAAAGGGCAACUGAAGAGAAUAUAAUCAGAACGUGAGCAAGAAAACAGCAAGAGAUGACGCAGUACCACUGCCAACCUGUGGCCAAUGUGGAAGGAGAAAGG